rnacentral:rRNA from 1 species
CUUGGGUUGUAAGCUCUUUCAGCUGGGAAGAUAAUGACGGUACCAGCAGAAGAAGCCCCGGCUAACUCCGUGCCAGCAGCCGCGGUAAUACGGAGGGGGCUAGCGUUGUUCGGAAUUACUGGGCGUAAAGCGCACGUAGGCGGACCGGAAAGUUGGAGGUGAAAUCCCAGGGCUCAACCUUGGAACUGCCUUCAAAACUAUCGGUCUGGAGUUCGAGAGAGGUGAGUGGAAUUCCGAGUGUAGAGGUGAAAUUCGUAGAUAUUCGGAGGAACACCAGUGGCGAAGGCGGCUCACUGGCUCGAUACUGACGCUGAGGUGCGAAAGCGUGGGGAGCGAACAGGAUUAGAUACCCUGGUAGUCCAAGGGCGAAU